rnacentral:rRNA from 1 species
UACGUAGGGUGCGAGCGUUUGUCCGGAAUUAUUGGGCGUAAAGAGCUCGUAGGCGGUUUGUCGCGUCGGCCGUGAAAUCUCCACGCUUAACGUGGAGCGUGCGGCUGAUACGGGCAGACUUGAGUUCGGUAGGGGAGACUGGAAUUCCUGGUGUAGCGGUGAAAUGCGCAGAUAUCAGGAGGAACACCGGUGGCGAAGGCGGGUCUCUGGGCCGAUACUGACGCUGAGGAGCGAAAGCGUGGGGAGCGAACAGG